UUAAUGGCUUUUUUUAAAGUCAUACAUUAAAUUAAGAAGACUUUCU
rfam:Heterocephalus glaber contig91619, whole genome shotgun sequence.